GCCCAAAUUCGCACGUGCCCGUGGUCGUCCAUGAAUUCCAGUGGCAGUCAGACAAGCCCCACCACGACUCUUGGGGUCUGACAAAACCGGACGGCUUAAAGCAACGACGUAAGAGGGCUUUU
rnacentral:sRNA from 1 species